UGGCCCUUGAGUUUGGUCACCCUUGAAACAAGUAAGGAAUCAACUGAUGUAAGAACAGAGUAACAAGAUAAUCAAGCUUUUAAAGAGGGUAAUGUGUUGUUUUUAAUUUCCUCAGAAUGUGCUCUAUAAAUGAUCAAACCCUUCUUUAUAUAGUGGGAAAGUCCUACUUUAUUUAUAAUUCUAAAUAUAGAAGGAAUUCCAUGAUAGAUUAAUUAAUUGGCUUUUUCUUGAUAUGCGUCGAGAUUGCCGCCGAGAUUCUCGCCCUAAUUACGGAUAUACCGGCUUUAUUAUUUUCUGGUUCGGUCUUGAUCUUGGCCGAUCAUGCACUUGAUCGGUCUCUAUUUUGCUCGGUCUCAAUCUUGGCUGAUCUCGACCGGUCUCUAUUCUGCUCGGUCUCAAUCUUGGCCGAUCUCGACCGAUCUCUAUUCUGCUCAGUCUUAGUCUUGACCGAUCUUGAUCUUGGUCAGUCUCUGGGUCACGAGCUCGGCAACCUAACUUCGCAUCAUAGCUCGAUAUUACACGAAGUUGAACCUUGAUCUAUCGUGGUCCAGGCUCGAUUAGUCAUAUGAAUGGCAAGUCCGGUUUUGACCGUAUACAAAUAGUCCCCUCGUUUCUCGGAAAGAAGAUAGCGAGAAACGAUAUGAAUUUCCGAACUCUGACUUGAUGGGUAAUGACGUCAGCGAUGAGCCCGAUUAUGACGUAUGUGAUGAAACAUCCCGUUAGUCCAGUUACCAAGGCAUUAAAUACCUGUCAGUUGUUGGUCGGUCAUUACCGAUUCCGAACUGUCACCAGCCACCUAUAAGAGCCCAAUCGUUUCUCAUUCAAACUUUACACUCAAAGCUUCUUCUCUAUUCUUGCAUCUUCUUUAGAAAAAUCCCUUUGCUUCAUAAUUUUUAGACCCAAAUUUCUAGAACUCCAAUUAAACCGCAUAUCAUCCUAAUUCUCUCUUUUCUUGUUCAUCAAUGGCGAAAACCUCCAAAACAGUGCCGCAAAAAGAAACCGCUUCUUCACCACGACAUGCCGGUGGUGAGGAUGCGGCGGAGCUCCACCCUGAGGAAUUCAUUCCGGUAGGGUGCUCUACCGUCGUCGACUUUAAGGUCGAAAAAGCCUCCUCGAUAGCGAGACGAUGUGAGCCGAUCUCGAGGUACAUGUGUUCAAUCACCGAGAAAAUCCUCGACAAAGUGAAAAAGGAAUGCAACUGGCGCGAAAGGCAUGUGGUGAUCCCAUCCCCUGAAGAGCCGAUUACUACCCAUGUGGAGGGGUUCUUAGGUGUUUACACUUACCCCUUCACGUUGGGUCCCUUAGACCCCGUCAUUGUCGCCUUCUGCAAGAGAUACGACGUGACCCUAGGCCAGAUCCAUCCUUCAUUUUGGAGAAUAGUGAUUCUCCUCCGAUUCUUCUCGAGCAAAAUUGAGGGGUGUCUUUUCACCCUCGAUCACCUUAUGCGCCUCUACAGUCCCCGACUCUAUCGAGGAAGGCUAAUCAAGCUUACUCACCGAGCUACCAAAGCACCAUUCUCGAGCAUAGACGAGACUCGUGACCGAUGUUGGAUGGGCCGUUUUGUUCGAAUCAAGACUUCGUACCUGAUCCCUGUCGAGGACAUGUCGUUUCCUGAGAAAUGGAAUAUCAAUCGUGAGUAGUAUUCCCUUUUCAAUUUUGUGGCUGUGCUUUUCAUUUUCUUUAUCCACUUUUUUCUAUGUUGUUAUAGUUGUGGCCCAGAUGUCGGAACCGAUUCUGGAACGUAAGCAAUGGGUUGAAGGUCUUGUGUUGUAGAGUCCAUACUCCGAGCGUUCUUGGAUGGAAUUGUCAAAGGAUCGAUGGGAGGCCCGUAGUCAUGGUAAGUUUCUUUCUUAGAACGGUUAUCAUUUGAUCUUCUUCUCUGGCUUAUUCCCCCAUUUUCCUUUGUAGGCCUCGGGAAGAGCGUUGCCAUGAGGCCCCUAUCUGGUGACGAAGAAGUCCCUGCUCAGAAUCAUGCCAAAGAGAAGAAGAGAAAAGAGGCUCUGAGUUCCCCGGUCUCGAAAAAGAAAAAACCGGCGAGGAAGUCUCGCAAGCCCAAGGGGGGCUCCGGUAUUAUGCCUUCGGAUUUGAUCCGUCGAUUAAGGGGCAAGCCCGAAGAAGGAAAAGAGGAAGUAUCCUGUGUACGGGCUAAUGUUCUGAUACAAAAAUCCUCCGAAUCGGCGGAGGUUGGUGAGGGAACUCUGGCGAUAAUUCCUGAACCAGAAGAAGUUGAGGCCACUCCAUCUCGAGCAGAGAUGAUCGAAGGAGAGACCGGGGGCGAGGCUUCUCGAGCAGUGGCAGAUGUCUCGGGGGACGAGCUCAGGAUGGUUGAUAUUUCUGGAUCCUCUCAAAUUUCGGAUGCUAUGAUCCGUGAGGCCAACAUGUUGGAAAGUCGAUCAUACGAGGGUAUUCACGGGAGGACCGAUAUCCAUGGUUUUUUGGAUGGGCACGAGUCUGCUGCCUCGAAGGAUAUUACCGGGUUUAGUGGAUUACCGGUACCAAGUAAAGUAUCAUGGUCGGUAGUGUCGGGUCUUCAUCGAGCCCUGGUGGAACGAUUCCCGGCCUCGAGUGUUAACCCCGAUCGUAGGCGGAAGAUAGUGCUUUCCGUCCCGAAGGAUGCCUGAGUUUUCUCUCCCCCUAUGGGGAUUGCUAGUUAUCUUAGAUCCUUGGUGAUCGAGGAGGAUCAAGCUGUGAUGAACGCGGUAGAAGCCGCAUGCCUUUUCAACAAGGCCCAACAUGCUCCAAAUCAGGCUUUGGUGUUGCAUCAUGAGGCUUUCCUCCGAAUCCGGGAGGAGCAUGAAGCUGAGGUUCGAAACCUCACCGAGAAGAGUGACACCUACAAGCUUCUUAGUGAGAAGCUUCAGACAGAUUUGGUAACAGAUCGGGAUGAGCACGCCGAGAUGGCUGAGCAGGUAUUUCAAGUGAUUCACGAUAGUGAAGAUGAAUUGGGGAUAACUACUAAUGAUCCGAUUCUACAGGUCCGAUAGAGGGUCGAACAUUUUGGCCUAAAAAAAGGAGAUCGUCCAAGCUCAAUUGGAGUCGGCCAAGGUCCAGCUUCAAGCUGCAAAAGAGAAGGCCUCGGUGCAGGUUGAUAAGAUCAAGGAGCUUCAGUAUCGGUUGGAUUUGGCCGUUUUUGAUAAGGCAAGCUUGACCGAUGAACUUGAAGUGGCCAGAUCCGAGGCGACCGUAUCUAGGUCUGAGUUAGCCGUGGCCAACAAAAGAGCUGAUGUUAAAGUAGCCCAGUUUAGGGAUGAUGUCAAAGUCAACCAGGCCAAGGGCAUGGUUGAACAUGCGAAGUGGCGGGCUCGAAGGGAAUCCCUCGAGGGGCCUCAGGCCCAGGGCUUCGAUAUCAUGUCUGAGAUCGAAAAGGCUAAAGCAGAGGAAGCUAGGGCCCGGAAUCUGGCCUUCCCUGAGGAAGACUUCCGAGAGUUCGAGUGAAUCUGAAGAUGGAGAAGAUCCCGAGGAUGGGAGUGCGACCUCCGAUGAAAACCAAGCCUCUUAGGACUUUUUCUUUUGUAUUUUUCCCGAGGCCAUUUUUUGGCCGUUGUAAAUUUAGGCCGAUUUGGCCUUUGUAAAAAACUAUUGUG